rnacentral:rRNA from 1 species
ACGUACACUCCUACGGGAGGCAGCAGUGGGGAAUAUUGCACAAUGGGCGCAAGCCUGAUGCAGCGACGCCGCGUGGGGGAUGAAGGCCUUCGGGUUGUAAACUCCUUUCGCUAGGGACGAAGCUUUUUUGUGACGGUACCUAGAUAAGAAGCACCGGCUAACUACGUGCCAGCAGCCGCGGUAAUACGUAGGGUGCGAGCGUUGUCCGGAAUUACUGGGCGUAAAGGGCUCGUAGGUGGUUUGUCGCGUCGUCUGUGAAAUUCUGGGGCUUAACUCCGGGCGUGCAGGCGAUACGGGCAUAACUUGAGUGCUGUAGGGGUAACUGGAAUUCCUGGUGUAGCGGUGAAAUGCGCAGAUAUCAGGAGGAACACCGAUGGCGAAGGCAGGUUACUGGGCAGUUACUGACGCUGAGGAGCGAAAGCAUGGGUAGCGAACAGGAUUAGAUACCCUAGUAGUCCCAU